rnacentral:rRNA from 1 species
UAGGGAAUCUUCGGCAAUGGACGAAAGUCUGACCGAGCAACGCCGCGUGAGUGAAGAAGGUUUUCGGUUCGUAAAACUCUGUUCUUAGAGAAGAACAAGGACGUUAGUAACUGAACGUCCCCUGACGGUAUCUAACCAGAAAGCCACGGCUAACUACGUGCCAGCAGCCGCGGUAAUACGUAGGUGGCAAGCGUUGUCCGGAUUUAUUGGGCGUAAAGCGAGCGCAGGCGGUUUCUUAAGUCUGAUGUGAAAGCCCCCGGCUAAACCGGGGAGGGUCAUUGGAAACUGGGAGACUUGAGUGCAGAAGAGGAGAGUGGAAUUCCAUGUGUAGCGGUGAAAUGCGUAGAUAUAUGGAGGAACACCAGUGGCGAAGGCGGCUCUCUGGUCUGUAACUGACGCUGAGGCUCGAAAGCGUGGGGAGCAAACAGG